rnacentral:rRNA from 1 species
GACGAACCGUGCGAACGUUAUUCGGAAUCACUGGGCUUAAGGCGCGUGUAGGCGGAUCGCCGCGUCGGCUGCUGAAAUCCCCCGGCUCAACCGGGGAACGGGCACCGAUACGGGCGGUCUCGAGGGGGGUAGGGGGGUCGUGGAACGUUCCGGUGGAGCGGUGAAAUGCGUUGAGAUCGGAAGGAACGCCCGUGGCGAAAGCGAGGCCCUGGACCCUUACUGACGCUGAGACGCGAAGCCAGGGAGCGAAGCGGG